AUUGAACGCUGGCGGCAUGCCUUACACAUGCAAGUCGAACGGCAGCACGGACUUCGGUCUGGUGGCGAGUGGCGAACGGGUGAGUAAUAUAUCGGAACAUACCUUGUAGUGGGGGAUAACUAUCCGAAAGGAUAGCUAAUACCGCAUACGCUCUAAGGAGGAAAGUGGGGGAUCUUCGGACCUCAUGCUAUAAGAGUGGCCGAUAUCUGAUUAGAUAGUUGGUGAGGUAAAGGCUCACCAAGGCGACGAUCAGUAGCUGGUCUGAGAGGACGACCAGCCACACUGGAACUGAGACACGGUCCAGACUCCUACGGGAGGCAGCAGUGGGGAAUUUUGGACAAUGGGGGCAACCCUGAUUCAGCAAUGCCGCGUGAGUGAAGAAGGCCUUCGGGUUGUAAAGCUCUUUUGUCAGGGAAGAAACGGUUGUGGCUAAUAUCCAUGGCUAAUGACGGUACCUGAAGAAUAAGCACCGGCUAACUACGUGCCAGCCGCCGCGGUAAGAC
rnacentral:rRNA from 1 species